GAUGAAGAACGCAGCGAAAUGCGAUAAGUAAUGUGAAUUGCAGAAUUCCGUGAAUCAUCGAAUCUUUGAACGCACAUUGCGCCCCCUGGUAUUCCGGGGGGCAUGCCUGUCCGAGCGUCAUUGCUGCCCUCAAGCACGGCUUGUGUGUUGGGCCCCCGUCCCCGGUUUCCCCCGGGGACGGGCCCGAAAGGCAGCGGCGGCACCGCGUCCGGUCCUCGAGCGUAUGGGGCUUUGUCACCCGCUCUGUAGGCCCGGCCGGCGCCAGCCGACACCCAACUUUAUUUCUAAGGUUGACCUCGGAUCAGGUAGGGAUACCCGCUGAACUUAAGCAUAUCAAUAAGCGGAGGA
rnacentral:misc_RNA from 1 species